GACCCCAGGUCAGGCGGGACUACCCGCUGAGU
rnacentral:rRNA from 2 species